UGAUCACAGUACUCUCUUUGUCAAUUACCUCAGCGUUAUCCUCAAACUGCAAAGGAUCUGAAUCAAUUUGAGACACACAAGUCUUGUUACUGAACUUGGGUGAGUCCAAUUUCAUGUUUUCAUAUUCUGUUUCCUUCAUUUUCUUGAAGAAAACUUGUGACACUUGAUCUUGUUCAUUUUCCACCACAGUUGCUCCCUGUUGUGAUACAAUAGACGUAAGUAAUUAAAGUAUGCUCUCCGUAAUAAUUUAAAUUUUCAGGUGAGAUGAUCACUCAAUUUAAAUAGCCAAAAAGCAAAAAAUAUUUUCACAUUUUUGAUCAACAGAAAAAGAAACAUUCUCGACUUUUAGGCGAGAUGAUCACACAAUUUAACAUUCCCAAAUCUGGAGCUUUGAUCUUUUUUAAAAAUAUUUAGAUGGUAACAUGUUUACCUCAACUGGAACCUUAGUGAUAACUUCUUUAAUAACCUCAUCAUCUUCUUGGAUAUUUUGUAUACUUGGAUUCAGCUGAUUUGGGAGUGGAACAAUUAGUUGAUUUGGCACUCUAGAGUGCUCUGUUGAGUCGACAAAUUGAGAAUCAUAUUUCCUAAAGGAAAUAUUUUGGCCUCCAUAAUCAUGGAUUUCAAGAAGUCCAUUAUUAGGAAGAAUUUCCCACUCAGUUUCAAGAUCCAUUUUUCACUGAAUGAAAUUAGCAAGGAGUUGUUACUAUUGAAUUGGUUUAAAUAGUUUAGAAUUCCGUGGAGUUCUUAUUCUUUUGGCAAUUGAAAAGUCAAAGAGAGUGAGUAAUGUGGGAUUUUAUUGAGAGAAGGCACUCAACUCAAUAUGGAGGAUGUCUUCUUGCUCUUUAGAGAGUGAAUGUUGAAUUUCUCCUCUUAGUUAUGAUGGUGAUUGAGUCAUAUAGGUGGAAGCUUAUCACUCUUUGAAAAAUCAAUAGGAUAGACCACAUAUAAGGAGGCUAAUCUAUACUAGAUAUUUCUCUCAAUUAUUAAUUGGAUUAAUUAAUAUAUAGUCAUUCUCAUUAGUUCAAUUAUGUCAUUUCGGAUAAACUUGAACUAUGGUGUGAAUUAACUAUAGAUUUUCUUUAUAUUAGUGGCGUCUAAUCAACUUGGCAUACCUCAACUGUUCCAUUCGAUAUUCAAUAUUUACUUAGAUUUGAAUUACCUAAGUUUUUCAUAAUUUUCGGUCACUUUUCAAUAUCUAUUACUUACUUAAAUUUGAGUACGCUAGUCUUUCAUAAUUUUUGCUCACUUCAUUAAUAGUAGUUAAGCCAUACCCUUUAGUACAACUAUAGAGUAAACAAUGUUCUCAAAGCCCUUUUAUUUCUUCUCUCUUUUAACUAAAGUGAUUCUCAUCAACGGUGUAAUUAUAACUCCAAUCUCUCAUAACAUUUUUUUAUUAGGCGAAAUACAUAAACAACUGACUCAUUUACCAUUUAGACACUUCAAGUAAUUAUUAAGUGUAUCAAGUAAAUACCCGAACGCUGAAGACUCUAUACGUAAGCUACAUUUGCCAAUGACGUGUCAAAUAAGCCAAUUAAAAAACGACACGUGUAAAUUGGAAUAAAAAAUUGACACAUAAUUAAAAAAAAAAAGAAAGAAAAGAAAAUACAUUAAAGAUGAAAGAGAAACCAUUUUCCUUUACUUUUGUUAAGACCAGUACUAACCCUCCCCUUCCCCCUUCCCCUCCCUUCCAUCUUCUUCUUUGCAGCAAUCGUGUCCCCCAUCCCCUUUUCUUAAAUCCCCCAACAAAUUAAUACUCAAACCAAUAUGAAAUAACAUAGAAUAGCUAAAUAGAGAACCACUAAGGAUCGUUAAUUGACCUCGCUGAAAAAGCACAUUAUGCAACCUUCAUUGUCGAAAAUUUGUUCUCCAAGUAAAGCUAGAAAACGAUUCUACCGGAAUCUUCAAUCUUCUCUCUAUUAUUUUCUUGAUUAUGAAUUUAGGCUUAUAUUACUUUUUUUCUCUCUACUUUGUUGUUUUUGGUAUAAAAUUAUACUUUAAAUUUCUGCCGUGAAAAUGAAAUAAGGUGGAGAAAUUGUGUUUUUACGGUGGAGAUGAGAGUGACAAGACUACUAAGAAAAAUAAUUGGUAGCUCUUGUUGCUGUAUUUUUGUUGCUUCUUUCGCUGGGUUUGGGACUGAUUUUUGGUCGAUGGAACUAGGCGGAGCUCGUAAUAGAGUUUUGUAUUGAAAGGUGGUAGUUUCUGGUGGUUUCCGGUGGCUUAGUUAGAGCUCUAAUGGCUGAUUUCCUGGCCUCUAUGGUGGUUUCAUGGUGGGUUGAAGUGGUUUUGUUAAGAAGAAAGAAAGAAGAGAGGCUAAGUUCUUGGUUUUUUUCCAAAGAAAAAACAAUAGGCUGAAAAAAUGACUUCAGGCGCCCAAGACUUUGUUAGCAAACAUGCAUGUGACACAUCAGAAUCAUGUGUUUACUUUAUAUACUUAAUAAAGUCUAAAUGAAAUAUGUGUUAGUUGAGGUAUUUGUUUGAUUGUUAAAAAUAACUUAAAAGGGCUG
rnacentral:lncRNA from 1 species